AGUCUGAGAGGGAAUCUGCAGACGGAACUUAGGGUGGAACAAUUCAGCAAGAUGAUCAUAUUUUGUCUGUUUUUAUUCAUUCUUAUUUUAUUGUUUUACGUCUUGAGUUCUGAGAUCUUGUUUGAAACAGCUGCUAGCUAUAUAGUUCAAGGGUGGGCUCAUUAAGUUUUUGUAGAAUAAAUAUCCUCGUCUCUACUGUUCUACGUCUUUAGGAAUAAAAAAAAUACCUUUAAUUUUGUGUUCUGUAAAGUCAGUGCAUUUAAUUUACAAUGCAUUGAUUCUAUAGAAUACAAUGUUGAUUAACUUGCAAUGUCCCAGUAAAUCAUGAAUAACUGGUGGGGGGGAUUAUAUGAAGCAUGUCGACGUUCUGAAACCUGGAAUGUGAAAUCUCUGAUUAGAAUGUGGUGAGAUGGUUUAUAUGAUGUCAUUGUGUUACUUAAAAUCUGUUUAAAAGUAGAACAAAUUUUUUUACAAAGCCUUCUCUAUAAUGUCAUGAAGCUAGGUUUCGAUGUUAUUGUUUGCAUGAGACUAGGGCUGGACCUGAAUAUCCCGAAUAUCCGAAUAUUCGUUCACUACGGCAUUAUCCGGAUAUUAAUUUGGUAUCCAAAUAUACUAAGCUUUCCAUCGGCGUAUAGUGUUGGUAUAAUCGCGUUUGCAGUUUCAGACAUUUAGCAAAUUGCUUAUGCAGAUCUCACAGUGUACCGCGGGCGGAACACUGAAGCACAACUGAAGCGCAAGGGGUUAACAGAGACAGACAGACAGACAAACACACAGACAGACAGACAGAUGGCCUGGCGGAGGUCUGCGCUCUCAGAGUGCUUUUCUAGUUUUCCAGUGUGUCAAUCCUGUCUUUUUGUUCCGAGUUCAGUGAUUUUAGUUGUGUCAUCUCCUUCACCAGGCUAUUUAUAACCUGUUGUUGGUUGGAUAUUUUGUCCAUGGCACUUGAGACCAUACUAAUACCCUCCUUCCUUUCAUUUACCUCCAUUUGAAGCUGUUUCAUUGCCAUUGUAGCAAAUAUACAGCAGGCUUAAGAAGCAAGCUAACCUGAUGUUGGAUUAUUGUAAGGGCCAAAGCCUUGCUGGAGUGUAGGUAGCAUGGCUGGAAAGCUGGGCUCCUCCGCAGGCCUGGGCCUGGCCUGCUGCAAAUAUUGCUUACUUUCGAUUCAAUCACAAAUUCCACUUCUUGUUCAAAAUGUUGAGAAGAGUAUCCACAUAAAGUACCUCUAAACCACUAGUAUCCUUCUGGUUGAAAACCUACAAAGGAUCACUUAGAUUUUUCAUAGAUUUCUUCUCAGUUUUUCAGGAGCUCCAGGUAUGUGUGCUCCAGGUAUGAAGGCAUUGGGCAUAAGGUGUGAUCAAAAGUUGCUGCAAGCUAGAAUAAUAAGGGUGUGGAGUAAUACUAAGUAAGGGAAAUAUUUGGCAAACCAGUAGCCUAGCCGCGCUAGACAACCCACGGCAACAAAUUUAAUUCUCUGCCAGGGUGGGUCUAGUUACCCUCCAUAAGGCUCGAGGCUGGAUUCUCCUAAAACUGGCCGGACGAAUCACCAGGAAGUGUAGAGUCAGAAGGCGGGCGUAACUAAAUAACGACAGAGGCGUGACGAUUCUGACAGAAACAACCGGCGCACAAUAAACAGUUAUCUUUCGACUCGGCUUUGGCCACAGCCCUUAAAGAUUUGAAGCUAAAAUUCAACUUGAAAGAUAAACAAAGGACGGCACUGAAGUGUUUCAUUGAGAAAAAAGACGUAUUUGGACUUAUGCCGACGGGAUAUGGCAAAUCCUUAAUAUACCAGUUGGCUCCGCUGGUUGGGAAGCUAAUGGGACUUAGCCACUGUUGCCAACUCCUCAGUAAGGAAAGUCGCUAUUGGCUGUCCUAAAAGUCGCUAGAAGUCGCUAAAUGACGUCAUCGCCUAAUUUGCAUAUUUCCCAGUUUGUAUGUAAUUGUAAUCAACGUUGUAGGAGAGAGAAAUAACGUUGUGGAAGAGACCAAAAAGUGAGUAUAAAAUAAUCAAAAUAUGUUUUUGUACUAGAGGCUAAAUGCUGUGGUUUAUUUUAGCAUGACAGUGAAGAAACGUUUUCGUUUAUAUGGCUCCGUAAGUCUGGAUGGGAUCUGUAGUGACGGCGCAUGCGCGAUUCAUCUAUCGUCUGGAAGUGGAGUGAUGUGGGUCUCCCCCUCCCCUCACUGAGACUGCUGCGGGUGUAGCAUAGGACACCGCAGGGUGUCGCUCUUCUCCUGGGCAUUUUCCCUUAAAAAGGAAGUCGACUGCUUGCCGAAGUAGACGCCGGUUUCCUGUGGGGUGGCCUGAAGUGUUUGCUGGGCACACACGCCAGACAGGAGGGUGAAAUGAGACGAUCCGGGUUUUAUGGACUUGCCGCAGAAUGGAGUGAUUGUGGCACCGUGUGAGUGAACAACUGAGCGUGGGACGACGGCGUUUCAGGUAUGCGGCUUUUUAAUGUUUUUAGAGUUGUGAUUAAAGUGUUUUUUAGCUUUUGGUAAUGUUGUGUUUUGUGUAUUGCAGUGUUCGUGUGGGCCGCUGCCUGCUGUCCUUUUUGUAACUUUAUUUGUAUUUUUUUUAACUUGAGUUAGUUCGCUCAGUAAUGCACUACAGCUGUGUGAAAGAAUAAAGAACUUGUGCGGGCGAACUAACUCCUUACAUUUGUCUUUUGUUUUAUGUUUGUUUGAUUUGGGUCACUUCCCCUGUUAAUAUCAUCUAUGCCCUGACUCUCUAUUUGUGGUGUGUUUUCAUGUGAAGGUGUGUUAGCUUGCGGUUCUUUUGCUGUGCCCUAAAGUUUGAAGUGAAUUCAUGCAUGUUAUUCCUGCGGGUUGAUCCGCCAUUUGUGGUGCUGUAAAAUUAACUAGGUUCAAUGAGUUUCAGAGGCAGAUGAUGAAGUAAGCAGGGAUACCCAAUUCUCCUUAUGAAAUAAAUAAUUGUUGAAAAUUACACUGUUACGUCCAUUGUAGUAUGUAACUCGUGUAACACGGGGUUACUGGACUGACAGCCUGUGCUCUGGGAGGGGGAGAAGCUCACAGCAGCACCUGCUGCUUGUUGAAAACAGUAACUGCACAGUGAGCCGAGUUUUCCUGUCAGAGUCUCCAAAACGACAGAAAAGUCGCUAGAUUUGUCGCUAGUCGCUUUUGACAAAAAAAGUCGCUAGGAGCUUUGAAAAGUCACUAGAUUUAGCGAGAAAGUCGCUAAGUUGGCAACACUGGACUUAGCCACAAUCCGCCGGCACUCUAGGAACUACGUCAGCCUAUUCGUUGCACUGAUUGGUUGUAUACCUACCCAAUUGCUGCAGAGUGAUUUGAAAGACAAGCUUUUAGCCCGCCUCUCUCCCUGUCGAGCGGCCCUAGACCCUUGUGCCUUCAGAAACAUGGGUCUAGCGCGGCUAGGCUAGCAAACCAGUGCAACCUGUUUUCAUAGCACACAGCAUCCACGUAGUUGUACUGGUGGCGGUCCAGAUCGUACUGGAUUCCUUUGGGCUCCAAGAAAAGCGACGUGGGGAUGGAGGAGCUAAAGUUUUUUCUUGCAGGUUUCAUUCCGCACCCACUUGCAGGGGAGGCAGAUCAUCUUGUCCUGGGUGAACUGCAGCGUCCCCCCCGAACAGAGAAGUCAUGAGCAUGACGAUGGAGAUGUAGUCUGUGAACACGUCCCACCAUGGCUUCAGGAUGCGGUACGCUGGAAAAGGGUGGCUCUGGAGGAACCAGAACGCCACCACAUGCUGAUCAAAGACACCAAAGAAAGAUCACCUCACCGUCGCCGCCGCAUGUCCACCCCCUCUCCGACCGCAGACGCCUCGGCAGACUCCCCCCUAAAGAUGUGUUCAAUGACAUGAUGUUUGUGGUCGGGGCAUGGACCCAGGAUGACCCGUCCUGUUUGGUAGAACAAUUCUGUCCCGAGUAUAAAGAGCAGAGAACAUCUGCACGAAGCAACGUGGCCGUGGGCACCCUGGACGGUUUGAUCUACACCGUAGGUGGAGAAGACAGCAUCCGAUGCUACAGCAGCGUGGAGAGGUACAACCCAGAUGCAGACAGCUGGAGCACCGAUGUAGCACCCUUGAGCAGCCCCCGCAGCAGAGUGUGUCUGGUGGCCAUGGAUCAAUACUUGUGCGCCAUUGGAGGACACGACGGCAUCACCGCCAUAAACGCAGUGGAGAGGCGCUGUAGGAGGAGAGCUAGCAAAAGUCAACAUCCUGCAAAAUGAACUGCGAUACCAAUUAAUACAAUCUGUGGAGCGGUACAACCCUGUAGACGGUACCUGGUCGAUAUGCGCCCACAUGCUGAGUCCCAGGGAGAACGCCGGCUGCACCGUUUACCUGAGACACAUCUAUGUGGCCGGGGGCAAAGACGAGCUCAACCUGGAGCUCUGCGCCGCUGAGAGGUUCAACCCCGAGACUAUGAGGUGGACGCCGGUGAAACGUAUGAGGAGCAAGAGGGACAAUGUGAGUAAUGGAUCAGUAUGUCACAAAUACAGAGUAUAUCCAUGUAGAGGUUCACAGCAAUGUAUCCAGUAGUUGUUGAGUUUAUGAAGAUGUAGACGAACUGGCCAACAUGAACAUCCACAGAGCUGGUAUCAGUGAUAAAGAGUGUAUUAGAAUUGACUGGAUGCAAAAGAUGCUGGACAUAAAUAACAAGGGGGUGUAUCUAGGAUCUGGUGAUACAGAUGAAUAAUUUAGUGCAAUAAAAUGUUUCAUAUGAGCAGACAACAAUAAUUAUUGAUCAUUUGGAUGGCCAAUUUAUAAUAAACACUAGCAGAAAGUAAGGUUUAUUUUGAAUUACACCAUCUUAAUUUGAAGGUAACUGAGACACACUCAUAUCGAUUGUAAUGUAAGCACAACCAUGAAAAUACACAAAAAAAUAAACGAAUAGAUUUAGGAUAGUUAGGUACACAUUAAACAGCAAAAAUCAAGUAAAAUCUACUUUGAGGUGAACUGACCUCAUUAAGAACAUGAACAAAUAAGCAAAAUUAAAAGAAAAUCCUGAAAUUAGCAAAUAAAAUAUGACAAAACAUGUGCAACAUCAAAGUGAUUUGUAAAUGUUGGUGCAUGAAGCUAAGACACCAUACUUAGGUUGGGAUCUAAUAGAAAAACUGACUGGCCUGGACCAGGUAUCACGGGACAGGAACCCCGCAUUGGCCUCCAUUUACACCCCGACAGAGCAGACACAAUUACAUGGGUGUCUUUUUGACCAUGAAGCCAGUCCUCACCAACUGUAGCCUCUACAAGACAUCUGCAGGAUCAGACAGAGGAAAAAAUAGGCCAAAGCGAUGGCAGACUAGCGUGCCUUGGAAGACCUCCACUGGGAGAGUAAUGGAGGCAGAAUGUUGUGAUGUUGGCUGUUUAUGAGUCAGGGAGGGGAGCACACUUUGGGCUUUUUCAUGCAACCACAAUUUGCUUUUUCUAGUUUCUAGCGCUAAGACAUAUCACUAUUGUUUUAUUGCCCAGCCCUGGAUAGAUCUGACUAAGAACUGGAGGAGUGCAUGCACGCCAAUUCAACAGCAAUUUGUCAGUCACAACACUGUAGUAAAUUACUGCAAAAACACUGAUUUGGAGCUAAAAGCAAAACAAAACAACAACAACAACAACAAAAUAACAUUAACAGUAGACUACAUUAAGUUACAUUA